CUUCCUCACGUACGCCUCCGUCCCUCACUCAAAUAACCUCUCUGCUCUGCACUCGUCCGCCUCCCUUCUCACGAUGUCGAUUACCUGACGCUGAGCCACGUUGAUCUCUUGGGCUAGCCUCUCCUUCCUAGAUGAUGGCCUCGACCAGGAGCUGACCCAUGUGGCGGCAGCCCGCAAGCUACAUCGAGCCGUGCCCUAGCUUUGGGAUGCCACAACCCACAUCGCUGACUCCAUUGGUCGCAGGUACCGACUGUGGAAUACCCGACGGUUGCCACUCAUCCGGUCACGAGAAGAUCUAGGGCUCUAGAGACCAUCUUCUUGACAGAAUUCCGAACACCACAGUAGGCCGGUGAUCCCUGAGGUGUCGUGUGCUGCUGGGGUCAGAUUGGAAACUGUCGGAUCCAAGCUUUGUGCUAUUGAGAUAACAAAAUUGACUCUAACUAAUGUUUUGAGUGAUUAAUCUGUACUCAAUGAUGAUUUGGGGUUAAUUGGUUUGGGGGAAGUAGUUUCAUCUAGUUUUAAA